UACGUAGGGGGCAAGCGUUGUCCGGAUUAUUGGGCGUAAAGAGCGUGUAGGCGGCUUUGCAAGUCCGUUGUGAAAACUCGAGGCUCAACCUCGAGACGCCGGUGGAAACUGCAAAGCUAGAGUCCGGAAGAGGAGAGUGGAAUUCCUGGUGUAGCGGUGAAAUGCGCAGAUAUCAGGAAGAACACCCGUGGCGAAGGCGGCUCUCUGGGACGGUACUGACGCUGAGACGCGAAAGCGUGGGGAGCGAACAGG
rnacentral:rRNA from 1 species